rnacentral:rRNA from 1 species
UACAGAGGUCUCAAGCGUUGUUCGGAAUUACUGGGCGUAAAGGGUGCGCAGGCCGCGCGGGCAGUCAAAUGUGUAAUCCAGGGGCUCAACCCCUGAACUGCGCUUGAUACUUCCGCGCUCGAGCUUUGGAGAGGAGUCUGGAAUUCUCGGUGUAGCAGUGAAAUGCGCAGAUAUCGGGAAGAACACCCGUGGCGAAGGCGGCUCUCUGGGACGGUACUGGACGCUGAGACGCGAAAGCUAGGGGAGCAAACGGG